CCUACGGGUGGCUGCAGUAGGGAAUCUUCCACAAUGGGCGAAAGCCUGAUGGAGCGACGCCGCGUGGGUGAAGAAGGUCUUCGGAUCGUAAAACCCUGUUGUCAGAGAAGAAAGUGCGUGAGAGUAACUGUUCACGUUUCGACGGCAUCUAACCAGAAAGCCAGGGAUAACUAAGUGCCAGAAGCCGCGGUAGUACGUAGGUGGCAAGCGUUAUCCGGAUUUAUUGGGCGUAAAGGGAACGAAGGCGGUCUUUUAAGUCUGAUGUGAAAGCCUGCGGCUUAACCGUGGUAGUGCAUUGGAAACUGGGAAGCUUGAGUGCAGAAGAGGAGAGUGGAACUCCAUGUGUAGCGGUGAAAUGCGUAGAUAUAUGGAAGAACACCAGUGGCGAAGGCGGCUCUCUGGUCUGUAACUGACGCUGAGGUUCGAAAGCGUGGGUAGCAAACAGGAUUAGAUACCCGUGUAGUC
rnacentral:rRNA from 1 species